rnacentral:siRNA from 1 species
CAAACCCGUCCUGCCAACCCGUC